GUUCCCGUAGCUCAGUUGGAUAGAGCGGUUGCCUCCUAAGCAACAGGUCGUGCGUUCAAUUCGCGCCGGGGACA
rnacentral:tRNA from 1 species